rnacentral:rRNA from 1 species
UAUCAGACUAUGUCAGACUAAAAUUCUGGGCAGAAUAAUGAUAAUGACAUUAUCUGUUCAUAAGUCUUGACCAAAUCACGUGCCAGCAGUCGCGGCAAGACGUGGAAGACUAGUGUUAUUCAUCUUAAAUAGGUUUAAAGGGUACCUAGACGGUAAAUCUAGCCCCAAAGGGUACGGAUAUACUAGAGUUUGAUGAGAGGGGGGUAGUACUGACGGAGGAGAGAUGAAAUUUUGUGAUACCGAUAUAAGAGACAGGUAUAGGCGAAAGCAACCCUUUAUGUAAAAACUGACGUUGAAGGACGAAGGCCCUGGUUACCAACAGGAUUAGAUACCCCAGCAGUCUGGGCAGACAAUGAUGAAUGUCAUAGAUUAGAUUAUAUUUAAUCUAUAAAUGAAAGUGUAAGCAUUCCACCUCAAGAGUAAUUUGGCAACAUUGAAACUGAAAUCAUUAGACCGUUUCUGAAACCAGUAGUGAAGUAUGUUGUUCAAUCGGAUGUUCCACGUAAAACCUUGCCACAAUUUGAAUAUCUUUAUUUUAAUAAUUAUACAAGUGCUGCAUGGCUGUCUUCAGUUAAUGUCGUGAGAUUUUGGUUAGUUCCAUUAAAUUAACG